rnacentral:lncRNA from 1 species
GGGGGCUCUUGGCAUAUAAAUAAAUAGACAGCUGCAACCAAACUACUUGGUUGCUCUAUAUAUUCCCCAUUCAUCACCGCCUUCUUUUUCUCAACAAAAUUCUGACAAUCUUUCUUUAAAUUCACUCAUUUAUUAUUUUGCAAAUUUGUUACAAUAAAUUCAUAUUUCUUGAAGUGCGACAAUAACCCAUCAAGCAUGAGGGAAAGUGAAGCUCAGAAGCUCAAUUUCAUGCUCAUUUUCUCACUUCUGCUGAUUUUCUGAUAAUGUGUUUGAUCUGUUAAUGAUGUUUGAUUGAUUAUACAUCAUCAGAUGGUGCAUCACCAAAUGGGUCAAUUUGGUUAUGUUUUAUAUGGAAUGGUUAUACAUGAAUUACUACUCACAGCGUGAUUGGAUAACAAUAAUAAGAAUUAUAAGUUUAUGUGUCAUUGCAGUAUGAUUUGAUGGAUUUGGCAUUCAAAUUCCAUUAAAAGUAGAAGAGGCACAUUAUUUGUAUAAUAUCAUGAAGGUUUCUUGUGCCAGCUAAGAUCAAAACCCUUAAUUGGUAUAUUUGCAAAAUCUAUGUAGAGGAAUCGACAGACCAACGUAUCCCAGAAGCUGUAAUUUUUUUUUGACACGGUGGUUCCAUAAAAACAAACAUGUUUGUAAAGUUUAAGGUGCGAGUAUAUCACUUGUGACCGUUACAUGUGGUGUAUACUCUUAAGACCUUUUAUGGGCUACCUAAACUGGUCAGUUGUUAGGAAAGUGGUUCGGUUAAUAAUAUAAACAGUUGGUUAUUAAUGUGGAUAAAUUAAGUAUGUUCCAGAGUAUAUCACUUGUGACCGUUACAUGUGGUGUAUACUCUUAAGACCUUUUAUGGGCUACCUAAACUGGUCAGUUGUUAGGAAAGUGGUUCGGUUAAUAAUAUAAACAGUUGGUUAUUAAUGUGGAUAAAUUAAGUAUGU